rnacentral:sRNA from 1 species
GGUCAAGGGUAUUCAUGAUUCUUACAUAAUAUUAUAAAAUUAUAUGUACAAUGAUAGUUAUAUUACCAUCAAUACAUAUCAAAAGUCAAACCGAGAAUGACCUGCAGAGAAUAUGUUGACGAGCAUCAGAUACUGAGCAUUUCAAAUGCAAGUGCCUGGCUGUGUCCGUUAUCUCAUCCGAGAUACCCCUUCGAGGGCGAUAAAGGACUCGACUCCACGUGCAUGCAUACAAACUUGGCUUGCGUACUGCAGCAGGCUGGAUUCAGCAGGAAGAGCAAACAAAACAAAGGAAACAGUUGAGUGCAUUUUAAAUUUCGUUGCUAUCGAUUUUCAUUGCGGAAAAGAGGCGGCAUGCUCGAAGUGCGAGAGAGAUAGAUAGCAGGCAUCCCCAUGUUGCUGUGCACACACAUACCUACAUACGUACAUACAUAUGUAUAUGUAUGUACGACCACCUCCCCACUUCAGCAUGCAUACAUAUAUGGAGUAAACAUAAAAAAUGCAAAUGUGCAUGGACAUAAAACCAACCCCUUCGGCCCACUCCCCAGCACUGUGCAUUGUGGAUGCAACAGACCGAGGCCUGAUCCACGGCCAGAGCCUCAUCCUUGAAUGCACCCAAAAGGGUUCGGCCGACAAGCGCUCCUCCUGAUGCCGGGCAUAUGCUCCCCGGAGGAGACACCUCUCCCCGGCCCGCGAUAAGGCGGGGGCUCGGAAAAACGUCUAAUGAAGUUGGAAGCCGGUUGUCAGCUGCAUCCAACCACCCACUCUGGCGGCUGUGGAGACUUGGGAGUGGAGGGUGGAUGGUGGAUGGGGCACGGUGCACGGUGCACGGUGCAUGUUGGAUGGACCUUGUUCGAUGUGUUGUCAGCAAUUCAACCGCACACAGACGAUUGCCAAUUUGGGAUGCACGUCCCCUGGACAUGCAUGCAGCAUGAACGCAUCCUGCGUGCACAGUCAGGUGCAAUAUCCUCAACAAGAGAAUUGUGCAUUUUUAAAUAAUAUGGCAAUGCCUUGUUCGCGGCCACGUCCCCCUCGAUUAAAAUUGCAAAUGAAUGGCCAUUUCUGUGCUGAAGUUUGCGGUCGGUCCUCAAAGGGUGCUCUUUGGGAGUGCCGAGGCCUAAUGGGGAAAUACACGUGGCUGCGUCGAUAUGGCAUCCGAAAACUUUUCUCCAGGCCCACACUUUUCAUACACUGAUUAAUCAAUGCACGUGGAGCGCACUUCGGGGAGGGAGUGCUGGGCUGCAUCUAAAGCAAUCAAUGGACGCGGCAGAGCCCGUCAACAUGCCCACUCCUCAACUUCUGGCCAUAUCAUUGCGCUCCUUCCCAUUGCCGAUGGCCAUCGAGAGUUGGUGAUGAAGCUCAUUCGGGAAAUCAUUCAUCAGAUGACAGAAACCGGCAGAAGCUCCGAGGCAGGCAGCCCGACUUUCGGACGGACCAACCGACAAGCAGCAGAUGAAUAUGGAUAUGGAAUAUGGAUAUAGACGAAA